GGGUGAACCUGCGGAGGGAUCAUUACACAACAAAAUAUGAAGGCCUGGCUUUCGCGGCCGGCUGAAAUAUUUUUUUCACCCAUGUCUUUUGCGCACUUGUUGUUUCCUGGGCGGGUUCGCCCGCCACCAGGACCAAACCAUAAACCUUUUUUUUAUGCAGUUGCAAUCAGCGUCAGUAAAAACAAUGUAAUUAUUACAACUUUCAACAACGGAUCUCUUGGUUCUGGCAUCGAUGAAGAACGCAGCGAAAUGCGAUACGUAGUGUGAAUUGCAGAAUUCAGUGAAUCAUCGAAUCUUUGAACGCACAUUGCGCCCUUUGGUAUUCCAAAGGGCAUGCCUGUUCGAGCGUCAUUUGUACCUUCAAGCUUUGCUUGGUGUUGGGCGUUUUUUGUCUCCCUCUUUCUGGGAGACUCGCCUUAAAACGAUUGGCAGCCGGCCUACUGGUUUCGGAGCGCAGCACAUAUUUUGCGCUUUGUAUCAGGAGAAAAGGACGGUAAUCCAUCAAGACUCUACAUUUUUAACUUUUGACCUCGGAUCAGGUAGGGAUACCCGCUGAACUUAAGCAUAUCAAUAA
rnacentral:rRNA from 1 species